GUUCUGAGAAAUCGUCAGCGAAUACUGCAACCAAUUUUUGGACUUAACUGGAGAUGGGAGGAAACCUCUGCGAUGUUCAAGACAGUCUGACAGUCAAUUAUGAGAAUAUUUUCCUCCACAGGGUUCCUUUUGAGUAUACACCCGCAACUCCAAUCUCAGACUUGAAAAGGGGGACCAUUUUUCCAGAGAGUGAAUUCCAAUAUCUCGCCUUUCCCCGUUUUUUUUUUUUUUCUCUCUUUUUCUAACUGGCAGACCCAUGGGGUUAAAAUCCUGCAAGCCUUGCAGCUCCUGCAUGCAAAGUAAGGAGGGCUGCGGAGCAGCCGGCGGCCGCUCGUGUGUGUGCGACUCUGAUCACUGCUGUGACAUCUGCUGCCAGAUGUGUGUGGACGUGUGCUCUGGCUUGUGUUCAGGGGACUGCAGCUACACCUUCUGUACCCUCUCCCUCGGCCUGCUGCAGAACUGUGUCUCAUUCUUCACCGCCCGGCAAACCCAAGCGGUCGAGAAGCUAUGACGGAUCAGGGGCACGUGACCGAAGCCACGAGAUGCGUUGAUUCAAGAACAGCAGGGGCGGUGCACAUCUCUGCUCUGGACGGGACAUCGUUCAGUAGCAUCAGCGACUGUCAAUCAAAGCAGACUAUGUGUACAUCAAGCAAGUCAUACAGAACAAUGGCAAACAAUUCAGUCACCAUCCGGUUUUCACCGAGUUACUAGGAAAAUCUGUACAAUCUGCUGCAAUCCACUGCAACAACACCAACUUCAAUAAUAACAAUGACCAUAAGGGUGAUUCAAAAUGGCAGAUAACAAAGAUAAGAAUCAUUGCAGGACUGUGUUGGAGUUCAUAAGACCGUGAACCAAAUUAACGAGUGUCUCAAUGUGUAAAAACAAUGGCAGCUGUGUCAAGAAACUGCUUUUGUAUGUACACAAACUAUCUAGCUGCCCAUCUUUUGGCACUGAGCAUUGAAGGGAGUCUGUUUUUUUUUUCUUUCCCCAAAUCUCUCUCUCUUUUUCUGUCUAAUGAGGACCGAGAUGAAAAGCACACAGACUUUGACAAUUAGGUGAAGACAGCUGUCUGCGGAGCGGUUAAAUGUUCAUUAAAAUCUGUCAUCUAUUUAUGAUACGUACACUCGCUAAUGAAAGAGAGGUGAACAUGUUGCGUGCGGAAGACAGUCAUAGAUAAUGUAAAACACGACACGGACGUGGAUGGAUGUGUUUAUUUUAAAAUCCCAAUGUUUGCUUUAAAUAACCCAUCUGUGGUUUCCAGUGGAGGCCUCUUAAUGACAGAAACAGGAUGCUUAACAUCGACCAAGUGAAAGCGUUGCUCUUUUCACUUCGGACUAGAUUAGACUGAUGCGUUUGAAUGGCCUCGUCCUGCCGUACAAGCAGCACUUCAAAGCGCACGUUAGAUGUCUGCAAGAUUGUUUUGCACUCAGAGGCAAACACAAAUAUUAUUUGGUUGCACACCGCGUACAAUCUGAAAUCUCUUUGUGAGCCCGAGGACACGAGGUGCUAUUCGCAUCCAGUGAAUUAAACCCUUUCAUUUAUCCGCCUUGAAAUGGCAAAUUUAUGGAAAUUUUAAUGAUUGAGGGAGUUAUGUCGCUGCAUCAAAAGAAGCUUAGUGUGAGGUCCUACGAGGAAAAGCCAGCCACACCGAGAAUGUGAUGGACUGCGCUGUGUCCCCCGGCUGCACCCGUCUGGGCUCCUGUGUUUCCCUCCUCCUUCGUCCCUGUGGACUCCGCUGUACAUUUAGUACAACUCAACGUUUUCAUCCCACUUAAACUCACCGGUUACACUGUGUUUCCGUUACCCCUUAAAUUCACCUUAUCCUGCUGAUGUUGUUUGGCGGCAUUUCUAAUCUCCUGUGAGUCGUAAGCAAUUAGCAUGUUCUUGCUUCAGCUUGUAUUCAUUUUUUUACUGAUUUACUUGAAAUGUCUUUUGAAAUGUGGAGGUCUUUGUGGCUGAUAACGACAAGAACGACAAAAGGAUUGCAGAUUAGAAUAUGGACACAUGCCAAUGAGGACGAUUAUGAGCUGUAUCUUAAUUCCUGAAAUUCCUCCUAGAAACUGGUCUUAUCUGAUCCCAGGACCCGCCUGGUGGUCAAUGCCAAGCCCUCAAAUGAAUACAUGGGCGGAAUAAACUUCCAGAGGAGAAAAACAACCAGAUUUAGUACCCAGUCCGUCUGUUGAGACUUUGUAAGAGGGUUGAAAAUGUGUAGUUUGUUGUUGUUGUUGCAUUGAUUUCAAAAGAUUGUUAGACGAUUCUCACUAUCAACAAAAAUCUAAUGACAUCAUUUUGCCAUUGAAUUAUACGCUCAUCAACAUGUUGUGGAAGAUACUGAAGUUUCCCUAAGAAACUGUGAUUUAUGUCAUUUGAAGUUUUAGUCAUAUUCAAUUUGUAUAACAACGACAGUAUGUCAGCCAAAUAAUAUAUAAUCCCAAACUGCAGAUUAAACCUUAAGUAAGAUCAUCCUUAUAUAUUAAUACCACAGAUCUUGAACAGAAAGUCUCCCCAUUGCCAAGUCUCAGUUAACAGUACAUGUUGAAUCGACUUAAUUAUUACAGUUGUUUAAAUGUUGCAUUGCCAUGUUUCUAAUCUAUGUUUUAUCGUCCUUAUUAAUGUAUCUCUUAAUUUAAAGAACAGAAGUGUUUGGAAAUAAAAUGUUUCAU